UACGUAGGUGGCAAGCGUUGUCCGGAUUUACUGGGCGUAAAGCGCGCGUAGGCGGGUUGGUAAGUCCGCUGUGAAAGCCCGGAGCUUAACUCCGGAGGGUCGGUGGAUACUGCCAGUCUUGAAGGUGCUAGGGGGAGAUGGAAUUACCGGUAUAGCGGUGAAAUGCGUAGAUAUCGGUAGGAACACCAGUGGCGAAGGCGGUCUCCUGGGGCAUUCUUGACGCUGAGGCGCGAAAGCUGGGGGAGCAAACGGG
rnacentral:rRNA from 1 species